CCUACGGGAGGCAGCAGUGGGGGAUAUUGCACAAUGGGGGGAACCCUGAUGCAGCGACGCCGCGUGGGUGAAGGAGCGUUUCGGCGCGUCAAGCCCUAUCGGCAGGGGAGCAGAAGGACGGUACCUGACUGAGAAGCCCCGGCUAACUACGGGCCAGCAGCCGCGGUAAUACGUAGGGGGCAAGGCUUAUCCGGAUUUACUGGGGUUAAAGGGGGACCUGACGGCAGCGCAAGCCAGGAGGGAAAGCCCGGGGCCCAACCCCGGGACUGCGCUUGGAACUGCGCGGCUGGAGUGCAGGGGGGGCAGGCGGAAUUCCUGGUGUAGCGGUGAAAUGCGUAGAUAUCAGGAGGAACACCGGUGGCGAAGGCGGCCUGCUGGACUGCGACUGACGUUGAGGCCCGAAAGCGUGGGGAGCAAACAGGAUUAGAUACCCUUGUAGUC
rnacentral:rRNA from 1 species